GAUGAACGCUAGCUACAGGCUUAACACAUGCAAGUCGAGCGGCAGCGGUAUCCUAAGCUUGCUUUCGGUAGCCGGCGACCGGCGCACGGGUGAGUAACGCGUAUCGAACCUGCCUCAUACUCGGGAAUAGCCUUGCGUAAGUAAGAUUAAUGCCCGGUGUUUUCAGAGUGCCGCAUGAGGCUUUUAACUAAGAGUUAUCGGUAUGAGAUGGCGAUGCGUCGCAUUAGCUUGGUGGGGGGGUAACGGCCCACCAAGGCAUCGAUGGGUAGGUGUUCUGGGAGGGAGGGCCCCCACAGUGGAACGGAGACACGGGCCAAACGCCUACGGGAGGCAGCAGUGAGGAAGAAGGGUCAGUGGGCGGAAGCCUGAACCCGCCAAGUAGCGUGCAGGAAGACGGCCCUCCGGGUUGUAACCUGCUUUUAGUUGCGCAUAUAACGGGGCUCGAGAGCCCCCUUGCAUGUACCAUCAGAAGAAGGACCGGCUAAUUCCGUG
rnacentral:rRNA from 1 species